rnacentral:rRNA from 1 species
GAUGAACGCUAGCUACAGGCUUAACACAUGCAAGUCGAGGGGCAGCGGGAAGCAAGCUUGCUUGCUUUGCCGGCGACCGGCGUACGGGUGCGUAACGCGUACCGAACCUACCUCACACUCCGGGAUAGCCCCUGCGAAAGCAGGAUUAAUACCGGGUAGCCUCACUAUAUCGCAUGAUAUUAUGAGUAAAGAUUUAUUGGUGUGAGAUGGCGGUGCGUCCCAUUAGUUAGUUGGCGGGGUAACGGCCCACCAAGACGACGAUGGGUAGGGGUUCUGAGAGGAAGGUCCCCCACAUUGGAACUGAGACACGGUCCAAACUCCUACGGGAGGCAGCAGUGAGGAAUAUUGGUCAAUGGCCGCAAGGCUGAACCAGCCAAGUAGCGUGCAAGGGAAGACGGGUCCCCUCGGGUUGUAAAACUGCUUUUAG